GUUACUCUAUUUUAGAUUAGUAGUAAUCCUUCUCUAUGUGACAUACUUGCUUGGUUACUAUGGAGAAGUGCCUUCUUUCAAGGAGUUGUAGAUUUUUUUAAUAUGCUCCCGGUUGGACACUUUUGGGGCAGGUAAGAGUGCAACUUAGUUUUCGGCUCAGGCCUCACUAGCAAUUAUGCCAUCCUCUUAUUUGGUUGCAGGUUACUUGCCUUCUUCUUUCAACCCAUCUCAAGAAUUAUAGUGCAGUUUCUGUGGGGCAGGUUAAAGAGCCCAUGUUAGUUUUUUUCAUAUGAGUACUCCUUUAUUAUUUAUCAACUGAGGCAUGAUUGCUGUGUGCACUUCUGACCGAAGAUGAUCCUGUUGUUAUUUGCUUUCAGAAAAGAAAGAGACGGCUCCAUGUGCGCUUGUUAUCAUUACAUCAAAUGGAAUAAUCAAAUAGGGUUAUAUAUUAUCAUAUCUGUAUACAUAAUAUUUUCUAUAUAAUUAUUUACUGGUGUAGGCUCCUGUUGUUAGAUAGUGAGCUUAUGUUAUUUUAUGCCAUGUAGUUAAAUUUAUGUGCACCUUCUCAAGUGUUUGCUUGUUUCUGCUUUUAUAGUAUGGCUUGGUAGACCGAGGGCCUUUUGUGGAAAAAGAUCCUGAUAUGUUCAACCAUGCCGUUUUUUUCUUAAUUCGAUGACCUAUUAAUGUGUUUUGAGCAUGAGGCAAUUGUUUUCUCAAAUAUAGUUACUCUAUUUUAGAUUAGUAGUAAUCCUUCUCUAUGUUUCUGCAAUUUCAAUUCCUGAUGUUUUCUGCACAUCCCUCUUGUUAUAGUCAGCAAGACAAGAAGAACAUACUUGUGUAUGAGUUCAUGCACAACGAAAAGGAGCGCCUUAGCCGAUGUUAAAUUUGCUGUGUGGAAUCAACAGCACGCUGUUGUAUAGACACCUAUGAUUCUUUUGCAGUAAAACUUUGUCUCUGCAGUUGUAUUUUGGAUCUUUAGAACUGCAGGGUAUGCUUAGUUUUUAUAUUUGCUGAUUCAGGUUGUCUUAGCCUGCAGCACUCCGUCUAGGCUACUGCGUAGCCCAUUUCCUUUGAAGAGGGUACAUCCAAAUGAAAACUUGGAAUUACCUAAUAGGUGCAUACAUGAACUAUUGAUGGUGUGAAUAGAAAACACCGGCAAUGGCACAGACGCUUGGCGACCUUCAUGUCGUGCCUCCAAGGCAGGCCACGAGCAAUGGCCCCCGUGAGGUCAGCCUUGCAAGGAAAUAGGGCAAGGCCGCUGCCAAUUAUUCAAGAUACACAUAGUUUGCGUUUGUUGUUUACAGGUGUUGAUAAUACGGUGAGUGGUUGAAGGGGAACUGGGGAAGCAUGAGGAGAAGGGCAGUACAGAGGGUGGAAUGAGCAUGUGACUUGUAUGGAAUGAACAAAUUUUCUUUUAAAUGAUUUGAGUGUAUGCUGAUACGUGCAAGUCAAUCAUAUGAAUUCCCAACUA